GAUGCCAUACGACAGGUAAACUAAACGAUCACAGAUCAGUGUAGACUACGACGCCAUACGACAGGUAAACUAAACGAUCACAGAUCAGUGUAGUCUACGAUGCCAUACGACAGGUAAACUAAACGAUCACAGAUCAGUGUAGACUACGACGCCAUACGACAGGUAAACUAAACGAUCACAGAUCAGUGUAGACUACGACGCCAUACGACAGGUAAACUAAACGAUCACAGAUCAGUGUAGUCUACGAUGCCAUACGACAGGUAAACUAAACGAUCACAGAUCAGUGUAGACUACGACGCCAUACGACAGGUAAACUAAACGAUCACAGAUCAGUGUAGUCUACGACGCCAUACGACAGGUAAACUAAGCGAUCACAGAUCAGUGUAGUCUACGACGCCAUACGACAGGUAAACUAAACGAUCACAGAUCAGUGUAGUCUACGAUGCCAUACGACAGGUAAACUAAACGAUCACAGAUCAGUGUAGACUACGACGCCAUACGACAGGUAAACUAAACGAUCACAGAUCAGUGUAGUCUACGACGCCAUACGACAGGUAAACUAAGCGAUCACAGAUCAGUGUAGUCUACGACGCCAUACGACAGGUAAACUAAACGAUCACAGAUCAGUGUAGUCUACGAUGCCAUACGACAGGUAAACUAAACGAUCACAGAUCAGUGUAGUCUACGACGCCAUAUGACAGGUAAACUAAGCGAUCACAGAUCAGUGUAGUCUACGAUGCCAUACGACAGGUAAACG